CGCCUCCUGCAACACAACCAUGUAUAGGAGGUCCAGCCUGCCCAGUGACUACAAGUUCAACGGCCGCGGUAUUUUGACCGUGCAAAGGUAGCGCAAUCACUUGUCUUUUAAAUAGAGACCUGUAUGAAUGGCUAAACGAGGGCUUAACUGUCUCCCCUUUCCAGUCAGUGAAAUUGAUCUGCCCGUGCAGAAGCGGACAUAAAAAUACAAGACGAGAAGACCCUUUGGAGCUUAAGGUACAAAACUCAACCGCGUCAAGCAACUCAAUAAAAAGCAAAAACUUUGCGGAACAUGAGAUUUUACCUUCGGUUGGGGCGACCACGGAGGAAAACAAAGCCUCCAAGUGGAUUGGGAAAACCUCCUAAAACCAAGAGAGACAUCUCUAAGCCACAGAACAUCUGACCAAACAUGAUCCGGCUGCCCGAAGCCGAUCAACGAACCAAGUUACCCUAGGGAUAACAGCGCAAUCCUCUCCCAGAGUCCAUAUCGACGAGAGGGUUUACGACCUCGAUGUUGGAUCAGGACAUCCUAAUGGUGCAGCCGCUAUUAAGGGUUCGUUUGUUCAACGAUUAAAGUCCU
rnacentral:rRNA from 1 species